AAUAAGCUGUACAUAAACUAAAUAAUUGUAAAAUUUAAGCGAUUUCUGUAAUUAGGUUAUUUUUUAAUUUCGAUAUUACCUUUAUUUCUCCUAUUUGUUCAACAGAAAAAAGGACAUUAACAAAAAGGUAUUCUUCUUCCGGAGGCAGAUUGUAAGCUUAAAUGAACGAUGACCCCAUUUUUUUUAUUUCAUUUUUCUUUUAAGUAUAUGAUAAAGUUGAUUUAUAAAAAAAUAUAGCGAAAUCCUAUAUUAGUAAAAAAAAAUGAUUUAUACCCAGGAUCCCCCUUAAUA
rnacentral:lncRNA from 1 species